GUGGGGAAUAUUGCACAAUGGGGGAAACCCUGAUGCAGCGACGCCGCGUGAGCGAAGAAGUAUUUCGGUACGUAAAGCUCUAUCAGUAAGGAAGAAAAUGACGGUACUUGACUAAGAAGCCCCGGCUAACUACGUGCCAGCAGCCGCGGUAAUACGUAGGGGGCAAGCGUUAUCCGGAUUUACUGGGUGUAAAGGGAGCGUAGACGGAAUGGUAAGUCAGAUGUGAAAGCCCGGGGCUCAACCCCGGGACUGCAUUUGAAACUAGCAGACUAGAGUGCAGGAGAGGUAAGUGGAAUUCCUAGUGUAGCGGUGAAAUGCGUAGAUAUUAGGAGGAACACCAGUGGCGAAGGCGGCUUACUGGACUGUAACUGACGUUGAGGCUCGAAAGCGUGGGGAGCAAACAGGAUUAGAAACCCGUGUAGUCC
rnacentral:rRNA from 1 species